UUAUUUUUUAUUUUUUUAUUUUUUGCUCUUUUGUAAUCGGGUCAAGAAAGUUGAAUUUCAUAAACGAUUGAAUGUCUUUUGGUAGUUUGUUGUGCUUAUUGAUUGGAACCAUGUUUAUCAAUGGUGAUUAUAAAUCGUUGAGAAUGAAUGGUCAUUCAUCCCUUCCGUUCAACAUUCAUGAGAAGUGAAUAGCAAAACCAGGCGUUUCGCCCACUUCAAGCAAUAUGUUGGGUUGCAAACCUCAAUCUGCUCGACGACCGCGAUCUGACCCUUUUUAGAAAGGGGUCGUCUGUUUGUCAAUAUGUUGUUAAAAUGGAGAGAGAGAGAUAUUAUUGUGAAACUAUGAUGGGGCUCCUCUGGUUUUGCUAGGUUACCACCCUAACGAAACCUUUCCAUCUCCUCUGGUUUUGUUCCUAAACUACAAGGUUUAAAUCCAAAUUUUUUUUAGCACAAAGAUUACCUUCCGAAUACCUUAUGACCACGGAGGCUAUUUUUCCGAUUAGGCCAAAAGCUUCUAAUUCAUCCUUUAUUUCUCUUUUCAUAUGGGCAAAUUUUUUGAUGGAUUUAUGUAUUUUUUUUUCCUUUGAAUUAGAAAUCGAAUCUGAAUUAUGGAUUCAAAAGAAACAAAUUGAUGAAUUUUCUAUUUGCGGACCUGGACCGUUGAAAGGAGACGAUGAAAAGCAACUGCAGGAAGGCAGCAAUGGAGACCGGGCAGUAGCAUAUUCAAGUCGAUCUGGGUCAUCUCAUGCCCUUCGACCCUCAUCACAGCUUCUCCUCCAUCCCCUUCUCCAAGUUAUUUUUCUUUACAUAUUCUAUAUAUCUCUAUUUUUUGGUAAUGUUGAAAACUUAAUUUUGAGAAAUAUAUAUUUAAUCUUGAAAAUGAGGAUUUUAUUUGAUUAAUCCCAGCAGUAAAGUUGCAGUCUUUAAGAGAAAUAGUGAAUUUUUCGCACUAUGCUGACAGGUUUUUGUUCAGUGGGUGAAAUUCUGAUUUGUUUUUUCAUGGUAUUUAGGGAGGAAUUAGUGAAGGAAUGUAUAACGAAAGGGACCGAGUUGGUUCAAGCUAUUGCGAAUAGUCUUUUCAACAUACCUUCAACUGAAGACAUAGACGGUCCCAUUGUGCAUUUGUCGCUUCCCGAAACUAAACUGCCAAGAUAGAAGCAUCUGCCGGUGCCUCAACCUCCAACAAAAUGGGAAACUUUAGCCAAAACAAAAGACUUGUUGUAGGGAUUUCCCCUGAGAGAUGGUUGUGUGAGACAUUGAGAACCUAAAAAUUUGUGAGCUGUUCCAAGUCUGAGGGUAUCACUCUGAAGAGAGAAUUGCUGCUAAUGUCUAAGUUGUAACUCAGGAGGAAGUUACCAAUCUGUGCCGGUAUUUCCCCAGUAAAUGGUUCUGGCUCAAGUUUAGAAGCUGCUGUUUUGUCAUUUUUUUCGAGCUCAGGUGAGAUUGGACCUGAAAUUUUAUUUCAACCCAUACGCAUAUAUGUGAUGCUUAUGCAUUUUCCCACUAUGGUGAGAGUGUACCAACAAACUGGUUCUCAUUAAGAGCAAUGAAUUCAAGACUGGGAUGAACACCAAAUGCAUUUAUAAUGUUCCCGGUAAAUUGUUUCCCAUCAAACCAGACUCUAGACAAUGCCGAACAAUUCCUCAAGCACUUGGGCAAAUACCGUACGUAUUAGAUUGUUAUUGUUCACUUUGAAACUUGCAAAGCGAAUCCGCUACACAACUCCGGUGACAGUUACAAAAACCAAACUCAAAAGCGAUUGAAGAGUUUUAAGGAAUUCUCACCAAGGUCAAGGUAAUGAAGCUUCCUGAGUUCGCCUAUUUCAAUGGAAUUUUUCCUUCAAGGGAAUUUUGAGAUAGGUCAAUAUCUUGCAGUCCAGACAUUAAACCAAUAUCUUAAGGGAUUUGGCCACUAAUGUGUAUUUUUCCUUGGUAGACUUUGAAAAGUCUCAUCCUUUUGUUGUUAUUUUUUCCUUAAUAUGUAUUUGUCCUGUUUGUACGUUUGGUUCAAGUCUGUCUUCGAUCGUUGUCAUCUGUGAGGAUGGUUUCUUAUUGUUUGUGUAAUGUUUUGCAGGAUUCAUAGAUAAUAGGUUUGGUAUGGGCUGCCAUUCGUGUAACUGUGUAAGACAACUCUCUCUGUUUCAUUUAAAAUGGUCUACAACGGCAUCUAUUAUUAAUGUU